rnacentral:rRNA from 1 species
CUGGCUCAGGAUGAACGCUGGCGGCGUGUUUAACACAUACAAGUCGAGCGAGAAGCUUCUCAGUAGAUUCUUCGGAUGAUACAGAGUGCGGAAAGCGGCGGACGGGUGAGUAACGCGUAGGCAACCUGCCCCCUGCAGAGGGAUAGCCUCGGGAAACCGGGAUUAAAACCUCAUAAUGCGGCACUGAGACAUCUCAGAGCCGCCAAAGAUUUAUCGGCAGGGGAUGGGCCUGCGUCUGAUUAGUUAGUUGGUGGGGUAACGGCCUACCAAGGCGACGAUCAGUAGCCGACCUGAGAGGGUGAUCGGCCACAUUGGAACUGAGACACGGUCCAAACUCCUACGGGAGGCAGCAGUGGAGAAUCUUGCACAAUGGGCGAAAGCCUGAUGCAGCAACGCCGCGUGAAGGAUGAAGGCCCUUGGGUCGUAAACUUCUGUUCUAAGGGAAGAUAAUGACGGUACCUUAGGAGCAAGUCCCGGCUAACUACGUGCCAGCCGCCGC